UCAGUAACACGUAGUCAACAUGCCCAGAGGACGUGGAUAACCUCGGGAAACUGAGGAUAAACCGCGAUAGGUCAUGAUUUCUGGAAUGGUUUAUGGCUGAAAUCUAUAUGGCCUCUGGAUUGGACUGCGGCCGAUCAGGCUGUUGGUGAGGUAAUGGCCCACCAAACCUGUAACCGGUACGGGCUCUGAGAGGAGGAGCCCGGAGAUGGGCACUGAGACAAGGGCCCAGGCCCUAUGGGGCGCAGCAGGCGCGAAAUCUCUGCAAUAGGCGAAAGCUUGACAGAGUUACUCUGAGUGAUUCCCGCUAAGGGGAUCUUUUGGCACCUCUAAAAAUGGUGCAGAAUAAGGGGUGGGCAAGUCUGGUGCCAGCAGCCG
rnacentral:rRNA from 1 species